CUGAUGCGUUGUUGGGUAGGGGAGCGUUCUGUAAGCCUGCGAAGGUGUGCUGUGAGGCAUGCUGGAGGUAUCAGAAGUGCGAAUGCUGACAUAAGUAACGAUAAAGCGGGUGAAAAGCCCGCUCGCCGGAAGACCAAGGGUUCCUGUCCAACGUUAAUCGGGGCAGGGUGAGUCGACCCCUAAGGCGAGGCCGAAAGGCGUAGUCGAUGGGAAACAGGUUAAUAUUCCUGUACUUGGUGUUACUGCGAAGGGGGGACGGAGAAGGCUAUGUUGGCCGGGCGACGGUUGUCCCGGUUUAAGCGUGUAGGCUGGUUUUCCAGGCAAAUCCGGAAAACUAAGGCUGAGGCGUGAUGACGAGGCACUACGGUGCUGAAGCAACAAAUGCCCUGCUUCCAGGAAAAGCCUCUAAGCAUCAGGUAACAUCAAAUCGUACCCCAAACCGACACAGGUGGUCAGGUAGAGAAUACCAAGGCGCUUGAGAGAACUCGGGUGAAGGAACUAGGCAAAAUGGUGCCGUAACUUCGGGAGAAGGCACGCUGAUAUGUAGGUGAAGCGACUUGCUCGUGGAGCUGAAAUCAGUCGAAGAUACCAGCUGGCUGCAACUGUUUAUUAAAAACACAGCACUGUGCAAACACGAAAGUGGACGUAUACGGUGUGACGCCUGCCCGGUGCCGGAAGGUUAAUUGAUGGGGUUAGCGCAAGCGAAGCUCUUGAUCGAAGCCCCGGUAAACGGCGGCCGUAACUAUAACGGUCCUAAGGUAGCGAAAUUCCUUGUCGGGUAAGUUCCGACCUGCACGAAUGGCGUAAUGAUGGCCAGGCUGUCUCCACCCGAGACUCAGUGAAAUUGAACUCGCUGUGAAGAUGCAGUGUACCCGCGGCAAGACGGAAAGACCCCGUGAACCUUUACUAUAGCUUGACACUGAACAUUGAGCCUUGAUGUGUAGGAUAGGUGGGAGGCUUUGAAGUGUGGACGCCAGUCUGCAUGGAGCCGACCUUGAAAUACCACCCUUUAAUGUUUGAUGUUCUAACGUUGACCCGUAAUCCGGGUUGCGGACAGUGUCUGGUGGGUAGUUUGACUGGGGCGGUCUCCUCCUAAAGAGUAACGGAGGAGCACGAAGGUUGGCUAAUCCUGGUCGGACAUCAGGAGGUUAGUGCAAUGGCAUAAGCCAGCUUGACUGCGAGCGUGACGGCGCGAGCAGGUGCGAAAGCAGGUCAUAGUGAUCCGGUGGUUCUGAAUGGAAGGGCCAUCGCUCAACGGAUAAAAGGUACUCCGGGGAUAACAGGCUGAUACCGCCCAAGAGUUCAUAUCGACGGCGGUGUUUGGCACCUCGAUGUCGGCUCAUCACAUCCUGGGGCUGAAGUAGGUCCCAAGGGUAUGGCUGUUCGCCAUUUAAAGUGGUACGCGAGCUGGGUUUAGAACGUCGUGAGACAGUUCGGUCCCUA
rnacentral:rRNA from 1 species